rnacentral:lncRNA from 1 species
UCACGCUGUGAUGUGUGAAAUAACGAAUAGGCAAAUAUUUUUUCAAAUAAUUUUUAUUCUCUUCUGCAGCAGAUUCACAGAAAUGAACAGUGUGGCCAUUUGAAACCUUGUGUCCAAUAGGGUCAGGAUUCUGUAAAGGACUGGCUCCCAAAGAAGGCAUAACGCGAACCUUUGCACAAAACCAUAUCUUGAAUUCAUCAGUUGUUCUCAGCAGAACCACUUCACAGUCUUUAAGCGUAGUCUUUUUGCACGUUGCUUUCACACGCCACUGAGGCAUCCAGUAGAGGAGGAGGAGUAGGAAGCCACCAGAACAGAUCACUCCUACAGUAACUAGCACCAGUUUCCAACGACACAAUUCAUAACCAUAGAUCUCCAUCUCCUCCUCCUCUGCCUUAUUGACAAAUUUCUUUUCUUCCUUCUCCAUGUUUAGCAUGAUAUGGAACUUCUCAACGUGAGAUAUGGAAGACCUGUCUGAAGAGCCAGUGUGUGGACAAAUCUCAUCCAAUGGCUGAGUCACCGGCGGCGCCUCAGCUGAGCCCCAUGCCGGCGGGUGGGCGCGGGACCGGCGCGGGACCGGCUCUCCCCCGCCCCACCCCCACCCCCGCCCGCUCGCCCGGCGGCGCGCGCGCGGCUGCCUCGCGAGGCGCGACCGGAUCCGCCGCCAACCGGCUCCACGCGCCGGCCGCGCUGGGCGGGGGC